CUGCCCGUGGCAGGGGGAUAAGCGGGGGAAACCCCGUCUAAUACCGCGUAACGCGGCCUUGGGGCAUCCCAAGGCCGCCAAAGGGAGCAAUCCCGGCCACGGAUGGGCAUGCGGCGCAUUAGCUAGUCGGCGGGGUAACGGCCCACCGAGGCGACGAUGCGUAGGGGUUCUGAGAGGAAGGCCCCCCACACUGGUACUGAGACACGGACCAGACUCCUACGGGAGGCAGCAGUGAGGAAUAUUGGUCAAUGGGCGCGAGCCUGAACCAGCCAAGUCGCGUGAGGGAGGACGGCCCUACGGGUUGUAAACCUCUUUUGCCGGGGAGCAACGGGCGUCACGUGUGGCGCCACUGAGAGUACCCGGAGAAAAAGCAUCGGCUAACUCCGUGCCAGCAGCCGCGGUAAUACGGAGGAUGCGAGCGUUAUCCGGAUUUAUUGGGUUUAAAGGGUGCGUAGGCGGAUCGUUAAGUCAGUGGUCAAAUUGAGGGGCUCAACCCCUUCCCGCCAUUGAAACUGGCGAUCUUGAGUGGAAGAGAAGUAUGCGGAAUGCGUGGUGUAGCGGUGAAAUGCAUAGAUAUCACGCAGAACCCCGAUUGCGAAGGCAGCAUGCCGGCUUCCGACUGACGCUGAAGCACGAAAGCGUGGGGAUCGAACAGGAUUAGAUACCCUGGUAGUCCACGCGGUAAACGAUGA
rnacentral:rRNA from 1 species